rnacentral:miRNA from 1 species
ACACAUUCAAGCCAAUCAGCAGCAGACCCUCCCUCCCAGACCCUCCCACCUCCUGGACUGCAUCCAUUGUGAAGCUGCAUUCUUAGUGAGCUGUCCAGGAGGUGGGAGGGUCUGGGAGGGAGGGUCUGCUGCUGAUUGGUUGGAAUGU